rnacentral:rRNA from 1 species
UACGGAGGGUGCUAGCGUUGUCCGGAUUUACUGGGCGUAAAGAGCGCGCAGGCGGUCGGAUAAGUCGAAUGUGAAAGCCCCCGGCUCAACUGGGGAGGGUCAUUCGAUACUGUUCGACUCGAAGGCAGGAGAGGGAAGUGGAAUUCCCGGUGUAGUGGUGAAAUGCGUAGAUAUCGGGAGGAACACCAGUGGCGAAGGCGACUUCCUGGCCUGUUCUUGACGCUGAGGCGCGAAAGCUAGGGGAGCAAACGGG